rnacentral:lncRNA from 10 species
GGAAGGAAGGCGCUUGUCCUCCCAGACCCAGGUCUGCAGCAGUUGUGACCACGCCCAUCCCAAUGGCCCUGCCUGACAGCAGGGAGGCCAGUCCACCUCCAGAUUCAUUUGUUUUUUCUGCAUGUGGAUGUCCAGUUGUUCCAGCACCAUUUGUUGAAAAGGCUAUCUUUAGUCCAUUGCACUGCCUGUGCUCCGGGGUUGAAGACCAAGUGAAGAUAUCUGUGUGCAUCUGUGUGCACAGUGCUCUCCAGAGAAGCAGAGCCAAGAGGAUUGGUGGAUGGAUGGAUGGAUGGAUGAAUGGAUGGAUGGAUGGAUGGAUGGAUGGAUGGGUUCAUGUGUUCGUGCUGUCACUGGGCCCGGAACAUCCUCCCCACACACCUCCACCUGUGGACAUGCUGUGUGUGUGUGUGUGUGUGUGUGUGUGUGUGUGUACACAUGUGUACACGUUUUCCUGGGCCACUCUGGUGUGGGUGUUGAUGGUGAGGGAGGCUGCAUGUUUGUGGUGGAGCAGAGGGUGCAUGGGAACUCUGUACUGCCUGCUUGAUUUUACUGUGAACCUAAAC